UACGGAGGGAUCUAGCGUUGUUCGGAAUUACUGGGCGUAAAGAGCGUGUAGGCUGUUAUGUAAGUCAGAGGUGAAAUCCCCGAGCUUAACUCGGGAACUGCCUUUGAAACUGCAUGACUAGAGGAUGGGAGAGGACAGCGGAAUUCCAAGUGUAGAGGUGAAAUUCGUAGAUAUUUGGAAGAACACCGGUGGCGAAGGCGGCUGUCUGGACCAUAUCUGACGCUGAGACGCGAAAGCGUGGGGAGCGAACAGG
rnacentral:rRNA from 1 species